GCCUUGCAUGUCUAAGUAUAAAUAGUAUACAGUGAAACUGCGAAUGGCUCAUUAAAACAGUUAUAGUUUACAUGAUAAUGGAAUUUUAUAUGGAUAACCGUAGUAAUUCUAGAGCUAAUACAUGCUGUUAAACCUGACUUUUGGGAAAGGUUGUAUUUAUUAGAUAUUAAACCAAUAGCUUUCGGGCUAUUGUGAUGAUUCAUAAUAACUGAUCGGAGUAGGGCCAGUCCCUACUAAAUCAUUCAAGUUUCUGCCCUAUCACUUUGAUGGUAGUGUAUUGGACUACCAUGAGGAUCACGGGUACGAGGAAUUAGGGUUUGAUAUCGGAGAGGGAGCCUGAAAAACGGCUACCACUUCUACGGAAGGCAGCAGGCGCGUAAAUUACCCAAUCCCAAUUCGGGGAGGUAGUGACAAGAAAUAAUAACUCGGGUAGUGCAAACUACUACGAGAUUAAAAUGAGGACAAUGUAAAUAUCUUAGCGAGGAACAAUGAGAGGACAAGUCUGGUGCCAGCACCCGCGGUAAUUCCAGCUCUUAUAGUGUAUAUUAAAGUUGUUGCAGUUAAAAAGCUCGUAGUCGAUCAUCUAGUAGCGGCCAGUUUGGCUUCGGUCAGGUUGCGUUGUUGCUAUCUGCUCGAGAACUUCAUCUACCUUAACUGGUCGGUGAUGCUGAUCGGGCUCUUUCCUGAGAAAAAAUUAGAGUGUUCAAAGCAGGCCAAUGCCUUGAAUAUUACAGCUUGGAAUAAUAGAAUAAGACUGAAGUCUCUUUUAUUGGUUAUGAGCUUUAGUAAUGGUUAAUAGAAACAGUCGGGGGUAUUAGUAUUUAAUUGUCAGAGGUGAAAUUCCAUGAUUUAUUAAAGACUAACUUAUGCGAAAGCAUUUGCCAAGGAUGUUUUCAAUUGAUCAAGAACGAAAGUUAGGGGAUCAAAGACGAUCAGAUACCGUCCUAGUCUUAACUAUAAACUAUACCGACUCGGAUUCAGAUGAAUAUUAAAGUUCAUUUGGGACCGUAGGAGAAAUCAAAGUCUUUGGGUUCUGGGGGGAGUAUGGUCGCAAGGCUGAAACUUAAAGGAAUUGACGGUUUUGCACCACCAUGGAGUGGAGCCUGCGGCUUAAUUUGACUCAACACUGGGAAACUCAUCAGGGCAAGAAGAUUUUAGGAUUGACAGAUUGAGAGUUCUUUCUUGAUUGGUCUAGUGGUGGUGCAUGGCCGUUCUUAGUUGGUGGAGUGAUUUGUCUGGUUAAUUCCGUUAACGAACGAGACCUUAACCUGCUAACUAGUACUUUGAUUUUCAAUCGGAGUUACUUCUUAGAGGGACUAUGUGAUGUAAUCACAUGGAAGUUUGAGGCAAUAACAGGUCUGUGAUGCCCUUAGAUGUCCUGAGCUGCACGCGCGCUACAAUGACACAUUCAACGAGUAUUUCCUGACCCGAAAGGGCUCGGGUAAUCUUUUUAGUGUGUGUCGUGAUAGGGAUAGAUCUUUGUAAUUAUGGACCUUGAACGAGGAAUUCCUAGUAAGCGCAUGUCAUCAGCAUGUGCUGAUUACGUCCCUGCAAAAUGUACACACCGCCCGUCGCUAUUACCGAUUGGAUCGUUUAGUGAGGUCCACGGACUAUUUGCUCUUGGUUGGUUCGCCUUCCUUUAGCAUUUGGGAAGUGGAACAAACUGACGAUCUAGAGGAAGUAAAA
rnacentral:rRNA from 1 species